UCCAUUAAUAAAUGGUUUUAAGUUCAGUGAUUGUUCACGAAGUGCAGUUGUUCAGAGAACUAAAUUAAUCUACGUAAAUUAUGUCUUCAGCAAUCAUUUGGGUCUUGUUCUUCAAUCAUUCUAACCACUCAAAAUGAUUAUCCUUGUUCGGUUCAGAUUGCAGCUGUAAAUUUUCAAUAGGACAAUUCCGUUCAAGAUGCGACAUCAAUGUAUAAUAGAAUGCUGCUUGAACUAUUUUAUAUGAAUCACAACAAAAAAAUA